rnacentral:tRNA from 1 species
GGUGAGGUGUCCGAGUGGUUGAAGGAGCACGCCUGGAAAGUGUGUAUACAGGAAACUGUAUCAAGGGUUCGAAUCCCUUCCUCACCGCCA